GUUUCUCAAACCCAUUGAACAUAAUGAUCCAACACCAUCUCCCAAUUUUGAAUCCUUGUAUUCGAAGUAGAAGAAGAUGAUGUUGAAGGGAUUCCUGACGAGAUUUCCCGACUUCUCGAGCAAGAAAAGAAGAUCACUCAGCUGUAUCUCAAGAAUCAGCAGAACAGCCAACUGGGGCAUCAAAAAUAAAAAAAAAAGAAGAAAAAAAAAGGAA
rnacentral:lncRNA from 1 species